rnacentral:lncRNA from 1 species
UAGAAGUCAGGUCGGAUUAAGCCAUAGUACGGAAAAAACUAUGCUACCUGUGAGCCCCGUCCAAGGACGUUAAAAGAAGUCAGGCCAUUACAAAUGCCAUAGCKUGAGUAAACUGCGCAGCCUGUAGCUCCACCUGAGAAGGUGUAAAAAAUCUGGGAGGCCACAAACCAUGGAAGCUGUACGCAUGGCGUAGUGGACUAGCGGUUAGAGGAGACCCCUCCCUUACAAAUCGCAGCAACAAUGGGGG